GAAGCACUCAGUGCUGAAUGGUGAACAGGUUUAGUUCUUGCUUUCAAGGAACAUUCCUUGUUGUCCAGUAGGCUCCAGAAAAUAAGAAAAGAUUAUACUUAGGACCAAAUCUUCAGUGACCAGUGUUGGAGCAAGGAGCCAAAAAUAGACCACAGUUGUUGGGGGUAAAUGUGGCAUCAGGUCAGGGCUGAGAAUGAAUGCACCCAUGACAUGCAAGGCAGCCUAGAAAGACUUAGAGUACUUUUUAAAAUCAUGAAAUAACCCCAAAAGGAAAAGACACUCAAGAGACAGUGUGAGCUAAUGAGUAAGUUGU
rnacentral:lncRNA from 1 species